CGUUAAUCGGGGCAGGGUGAGUCGACCCCUAAGGCGAGGCCGAAAGGCGUAGUCGAUGGGAAACAGGUUAAUAUUCCUGUACUUGGUAUUACUGCGAAGGGGGGACGGAGAAGGCUAUGUUGGCCGGGCGACGGUUGUCCCGGUUUAAGCGUGUAGGCUGGUUUUCCAGGCAAAUCCGGAAAAUCAAGGCUGAGGCGUGAUGACGAGGCACUACGGUGCUGAAGCAACAAAUGCCCUGCUUCCAGGAAAAGCCUCUAAGCAUCAGGUAACAUCAAAUCGUACCCCAAACCGACACAGGUGGUCAGGUAGAGAAUACCAAGGCGCUUGAGAGAACUCGGGUGAAGGAACUAGGCAAAAUGGUGCCGUAACUUCGGGAGAAGGCACGCUGAUAUGUAGGUGAAGUCCCUUGCGGAUGGAGCUGAAAUCAGUCGAAGAUACCAGCUGGCUGCAACUGUUUAUUAAAAACACAGCACUGUGCAAACACGAAAGUGGACGUAUACGGUGUGACGCCUGCCCGGUGCCGGAAGGUUAAUUGAUGGGGUCAGCGCAAGCGAAGCUCUUGAUCGAAGCCCCGGUAAACGGCGGCCGUAACUAUAACGGUCCUAAGGUAGCGAAAUUCCUUGUCGGGUAAGUUCCGACCUGCACGAAUGGCGUAAUGAUGGCCAGGCUGUCUCCACCCGAGACUCAGUGAAAUUGAACUCGCUGUGAAGAUGCAGUGUACCCGCGGCAAGACGGAAAGACCCCGUGAACCUUUACUAUAGCUUGACACUGAACAUUGAGCCUUGAUGUGUAGGAUAGGUGGGAGGCUUUGAAGUGUGGACGCCAGUCUGCAUGGAGCCGGCCUUGAAAUACCACCCUUUAAUGUUUGAUGUUCUAACGUGGACCCGUGAUCCGGGUUGCGGACAGUGUCUGGUGGGUAGUUUGACUGGGGCGGUCUCCUCCUAAAGAGUAACGGAGGAGCACGAAGGUUGGCUAAUCCUGGUCGGACAUCAGGAGGUUAGUGCAAUGGCAUAAGCCAGCUUGACUGCGAGCGUGACGGCGCGAGCAGGUGCGAAAGCAGGUCAUAGUGAUCCGGUGGUUCUGAAUGGAAGGGCCAUCGCUCAACGGAUAAAAGGUACUCCGGGGAUAACAGGCUGAUACCGCCCAAGAGUUCAUAUCGACGGCGGUGUUUGGCACCUCGAUGUCGGCUCAUCACAUCCUGGGGCUGAAGUAGGUCCCAAGGGUAUGGCUGUUCGCCAUUUAAAGUGGUACGCGAGCUGGGUUUAGAACGUCGUGAGACAGUUCGGUCCCUAUCUGCCGUGGGCGCUGGAGAACUGAGGGGGGCUGCUCCUAGUACGAGAGGACCGGAGUGGACGCAUCACUGGUGUUCGGGUUGUCAUGCCAAUGGCACUGCCCGGUAGCUAAAUGCGGAAGAGAUAAGUGCUGAAAGCAUCUAAGCACGAAACUUGCCCCGAGAUGAGUUCUCCCUGACCCUUUAAGGGUCCUGAAGGAACGUUGAAGACGACGACGUUGAUAGGCCGGGUGUGUAAGCGCAGCGAUGCGUUGAGCUAACCGGUACUAAUGAACCGUGAG
rnacentral:rRNA from 1 species